rnacentral:rRNA from 1 species
GACAGAGGGUGCAAACGUUGUUCGGAAUCACUGGGCGUAAAGGGCGCGUAGGCGGCGUUUUAAGUUGGGGGUGAAAGCCUGUGGCUCAACCACAGAAUUGCCUUCGAUACUGGGACGCUUGAGUGUGGUAGAGGUUGGUGGAACUGCGAGUGUAGAGGUGAAAUUCGUAGAUAUUCGCAAGAACACCGGUGGCGAAGGCGGCCAACUGGACUGAUACUGACACUGAGGUGCGAAAGCGUGGGGAGCAAACAGG